rnacentral:rRNA from 1 species
AGUGAACGCUGGCGGUAGGCCUAACACAUGCAAGUCGAACGGCAGCACAGUAAGAGCUUGCUCUUACGGGUGGCGAGUGGCGGACGGGUGAGGAAUACAUCGGAAUCUACUUUUUCGUGGGGGAUAACGUAGGGAAACUUACGCUAAUACCGCAUACGACCUACGGGUGAAAGCAGGGGAUCUUCGGACCUUGCGCGAUUGAAUGAGCCGAUGUCGGAUUAGCUAGUUGGCGGGGUAAAGGCCCACCAAGGCGACGAUCCGUAGCUGGUCUGAGAGGAUGAUCAGCCACACUGGAACUGAGACACGGUCCAGACUCCUACGGGAGGCAGCAGUGGGGAAUAUUGGACAAUGGGCGCAAGCCUGAUCCAGCCAGACCGCGUGGGUGAAGAAGGCCUUCGGGUUGUAAAGCCCUUUUGUUGGGAAAGAAAAGCAGCAGGUUAAUACCCCGCUAUUCUGACGGUACCCAAAGAAUAAGCACCGGCUAACUUCGUG